rnacentral:rRNA from 1 species
AACGAACGCUGGCGGCGUGCUUAACACAUGCAAGUCGAACGGUAAGGCCCUUCGGGGUACACGAGUGGCGAACGGGUGAGUAACACGUGGGUGAUCUGCCCUGCACUUCGGGAUAAGCCUGGGAAACUGGGUCUAAUACCGGACAGGACCACUGCCUGCAUGGGUGGGGGUGGAAAGCUUUUGCGGGGUGGGAUGGGCCCGCGGCCUAUCAGCUUGUUGGUGGGGUGAUGGCCUACCAAGGCGACGACGGGUAGCCGGCCUGAGAGGGUGACCGGCCACACUGGGACUGAGAUACGGCCCAGACUCCUACGGGAGGCAGCAGUGGGGAAUAUUGCACAAUGGGCGCAAGCCUUAUGCAGCGACGCCGCGUGAGGGAUGACGGCCUUCGGGUUGUAAACCUCUUUCAGCACCGACGAAGCGCAAGUGACGGUAGGUGCAGAAGAAGGACCGGCCAACUACGUGCCAGCCGCCGCCGUAA